rnacentral:rRNA from 1 species
UACGUAGGUGGCAAGCGUUGUCCGGAUUUACUGGGCGUAAAGGGCGUGCAGGCGGUUUGCUAAGUCUAGGGUGAAAGCUCCCGGCUCAACUGGGAGAGGUCCUUGGAUACUGACAGACUUGAGGGAGGCAGAGGAGAAUGGAAUUCCCGGUGUAGUGGUGAUAUGCGUAGAUAUCGGGAGGAACACCAGUGGCGAAGGCGGUUCUCUGGGCCUUACCUGACGCUGAGACGCGAAGGCGUGGGGAGCGAACCGG